rfam:Clostridium symbiosum WAL-14163 genomic scaffold supercont1.1, whole genome shotgun sequence.
GGGACCUGUACUCGUUGCGGUGCAACGAUGGUUAAAGC